rnacentral:tRNA from 1 species
GGUUAUGGCUCAGCGAUAGAGUGCUCGCCUAGCACGUGCGAGGCCUGGGUUCAAUCUUCAGCACCA